UACGAAGGGGGCUAGCGUUGUUCGGAAUCACUGGGCGUAAAGGGCGCGUAGGCGGCUUUGUAAGUCGGGGGUGAAAGCCUGUGGCUCAACCACAGAAUUGCCUUCGAUACUGCAUGGCUUGAGACCGGAAGAGGUUAGUGGAACUGCGAGUGUAGAGGUGAAAUUCGUAGAUAUUCGCAAGAACACCAGUGGCGAAGGCGGCUGACUGGUCCGGUUCUGACGCUGAGGCGCGAAAGCGUGGGGUGCAAACAGG
rnacentral:rRNA from 1 species